UCGGGAAUUUUGGGCAAUGGGCGAAAGCCUGACCCAGCAACGCCGCGUGAAGGAUGAAGUAUUUCGGUAUGUAAACUUCGUAAGAAUAGGAAGAAUAAAUGACGGUACUAUUUGUAAGGUCCGGCUAACUACGUGCCAGCAGCCGCGGUAAUACGUAGGGACCAAGCGUUGUUCGGAUUUACUGGGCGUAAAGGGCGCGUAGGCGGUGUGUCAAGUCAGUUGUGAAAUCUCCGAGCUUAACUCGGAACGGUCAACUGAUACUGUCACACUAGAGUACAGAAGGGGCAAUCGGAAUUCUUGGUGUAGCGGUGAAAUGCGUAGAUAUCAAGAGGAACACCUGAGGCGAAGGCGGGUUGCUGGGCUGAUACUGACGCUGAGGCGCGAAAGCUAGGGUAGCAAACGGGGAUUAGAUACCCCUGUAGUCCCUGAGCGGGCUGGCAAGGCGCAU
rnacentral:rRNA from 1 species